rnacentral:rRNA from 1 species
CAUCGCUCCAUCUCACUGCGGGGGCAUCCAACCUUGUUUAUCUUCCCCAAAUUUCUUCUCCCCGGCCCCCUCCCUUGGUCGAACCCUCCAAGGAGACAAACCGGGAAGCCGCCCAGCCCCAAAUCCUUCCCCUUCUCUGGUUCCCUCCCUCCCGUUCGCUGGCCGCGGCCGCCGACUGCUCUUCUUCUAGGCGCUGCAAGGAUAAUCAAUUAAUCAUGGCCAAAAAUAAAAGAAAGCAUGUGCAAACAAUGCAUUCUUUUUUUCAGAAGAAAGGAAGAGUUGAAGGCUCAGAACAGAAUAACUUGGUUGAUCCUCACUUGGUGGAUGAACAAGAAGACUCACUACAAGAAAUUCGAGUUCCGAUGUCAACAACGCCACCUUAGGUUCAGAUAGAGAGUGGGAGAGGCAAUGAUGAAUCCGCUGCUGUUUUGGUAGUAGAAAGGGAACCGGGCAUCCGGUGCCAAAUUCGGGAUUAUCCUCCUAAUAAUCAAGAACAAGCACGUACAGCAUAUAUGAAGCACGGGGCGUAUCAUUUUAAAAUGGACGAGUAUCCUCCUGAUGAUGCAGCAGUCCAUCCACGUAGGUUUCAGUAUCAUUGGUUUAAGGACUUCCCUUGGUUAGAAUAUUCGCCAGAGAAAGAUGCAGUCUAUUGUUUUCCAUGCUUUUUGUUUUGUAAUAAGCCACUUGGGAAGAAAGGGUCUGAUGUGUUUAUAGUGCAAGGUUUCAGAAAGCGGAAGAGAGUAAAUAAUGGUCAGAAAUGUGCUUUCUUAACUCACAUGGGAAAGAUAGUAAAUCUGCUCAUAGUUAUGCUGUGAAAUGCCAUGAUAAUUUCAAGGACAAGCCAUGUCAAAUAGAGCAGUUAAUGGUGAAGCAAACCGACGAGGAUAUCAAGAAGAAUAGGUUGCGACUGAGAGUAACAAUUGAUGCACUACGGUGGUUAGCAUUCCAAGCUUGCCCCUUUCAAGGACAUGAUGAAACUCUUGAUUCAACAAACCAUGGCAAUUUUCUUGAAAUGGAUAAAUUGGUAGCUUCUUAUGAUGAGGAAAUUGGUGCAGUUGUAUUGGGUAAUGCUCCUGGGAAUGCAAAGUAUACCUCGCAUCCAAUUCAAACAGAAAUUCUGCACAUAAUUGCUUCCAAUGUGCAAAGGGAAAUUCGUAAAGAAAUUGGUGAUGCUAAGUUUUGCUUGCUUGUUGAUGAGUCAAGAGAUGAAGCAAAAAGGGAGCAAAUGGCAGUGGUUAUUCGUUUUGUUGAUAAACCCGGUUUCACUCAGGAGCGUUUUCUUGAUAUUGUUCAUGUCGCAGAUACAUCCUCGGCUACUCUAAAACAAGAGUUAUCUUCUGUUUUGGCUCAAUAUCAGUUAGAUGUGCACAAUAUCUGUGGACAAGGAUACGAUGGUGCUAGUAACAUGCGUGGGGGGUGGAACGGACUACAAGACAAGUUCAUGGAAGAGUGUCCCUAUGCAUAUUACAUCCAUUGUUUUGCUCAUCAAUUGCAGCUUGCUCUAGUUGCUGCAUCUAAAGAAGUAGCUGAUGUGCACAACUUUUUUGACCAUCUUGCUCUUGCUGUCAAUACUGUUGUGUCUUCUAGUACGAGAAGUGAUGAGCUACAUGCUAAUCAAGUUGCUGAAAUGGAGCGUCUGAUUGAGCUAAGUGAGCUUGAAACUGGAAGUGGGGCUAAUCAAGUUGGCACUUUACCGCGGCCUUGUGACACUAGGUGGAGUUCUCACUAUGCUUCUGUUUGCAGCCUUUUGAAAUUAUACAGACCUACAUUUUUGGUACUUAAAAGCAUUGCUACUGCCAAAGGGUCAGGUAGUUCACCUACAGCACGAGCAAAGGCCUAUGGUGCUGUUAAGCUAAUGAUGUCGUUUGACUUCAUAUUUAUUUUGCAUGUCAUGAAAGAACUUAUGGGGAUCACAGACAUGCUAUGCAAAAAGUUGCAAAAGAAAUCUCAAGAUAUUGUAAAUGCCAUGGAUGAUGUUAAGACUACAAAAAUAUUGAUUCAGGAGCUCAGAGAUAAUGGUUGGAGCAAGCUUAAAGCUGAUGUGCUUUCUUUUUGGGAAACACGGAGUUAAAAUACUAGAUUUCAGCGAGUUCUAUGUGGAUUUCAUUAAUUCUCGUGCAGAGGAUGAGACUACAGUGGAGCAUCAUUAUCGGUGUGAUGUUUUCAUGGUUGCCGUUGAUCAACAAGCACAUGAGUUGAAUUGCAGAUUCAACAAACAAGCAAUAGAGCUUCUCAUUUUGUCCACUUCGUUGGAUCCUAAGAAUGCAUUCACUUCAUUUAACAUUGAUAAUAUAUGUUCUCUAGCUUCAAAAUUCUAUCCUGCUGAUUUUGAAGAACAAGAAAGAAAUAAUCUGAGAUGUCAGUUACGGCAUUAUGAGAAUGAUAUACUCACAAACCCGAAGUUUCAGAAUUUGACAACGAUAUCUGAACUUUGUCAACAGCUUGCAGCAACUGGGAAAUCAGAUGAAUACCACUUGAUUGACAGAUUGAUUCGACUUGUACUUACUUUACCGGUUUCAACUGCAACGACACAACGUGCAUUUUCUGCAAUGAAACUUGUGAAGACAAGGCUUCGGAAUAAAAUGGAAGAUGAAUUACUAAGGGAUUGCUUCGUAAUUUAUAUUGAAAAGGAGAUUGCAGUUGGAAUAUCAAUAGAUGCAGUUAUAUAUGAGUUCGAUGAAUCACCACGUCGAGUGCAAUUUAGUUGAAACAAGUUAGUUCCUCUGUAUUUCUAUUUUCUAGAUUUUUCUUCUGUGUGAUGUGCAAUUCAACAAUAUCCUUUUGUUAUGGAAAAUGAAUGGUGGUAUAAUCAAUGGAGAAAUAUUUUGCUAUUACAUCAGUUUCAGUUUCUAUUUUUGAAAAUUUUUGUGUACAAAAGUGUUGCCAUGCUAAGUCGGCCCUGGUCAUACAUUUUUUCUGGCUCCGCCACUGCUGACAUGCAGGACAAGGCAGCAGCGGAGCAGCCGCUCCUACUUGCACCAUGCAAGGUGAAGGCAUUGGAGCUCAAUAGAAGCUGGCGACGAGGAGUUUUUUUUUUUUCUUUUUCUUUUGCGUGAACUGGCAACGAGGAGGCUACUGUUGCUGAGCACGGAAAGUAGCUGGUCCUUCAGAUUUUGUGUUAGGAACAAGCUAGCAACCCUCACGUGCCCAAUUUCUCUUCAUCCUGCAAACUCUAGUUUUAUUUUCUUUGAAUACGGCUUAAAUUUUUGAAUCG